GGCUUCUGAUGCUUAUUGCACCACAUGUGUUUUUUAUUGAACAAAUUUCUUUGGUGGCGGGAGCAAUCCUACCGCCAGAGGUUAUAACUAAACCAAACUUUUUAUUUACAGUCAAACUUGAUUUAUUAUUACAAUAGUCAAAACUUUCAACAACGGAUCUCUUGGUUCUCGCAUCGAUGAAGAACGCAGCGAAAUGCGAUACGUAAUAUGAAUUGCAGAUAUUCGUGAAUCAUCGAAUCUUUGAACGCACAUUGCGCCCUUUGGUAUUCCAAAGGGCAUGCCUGUUUGAGCGUCAUUUCUCCCUCAAACCCCCGGGUUUGGUGUUGAGCAAUACGCUAGGUUUGUUUGAAAGAAUUUAACGUGGAAACUUAUUUUAAGCGACUUAGGUUUAUCCAAAAACGCUUAUUUUGCUAGUGGCCACCACAAUUUAUUUCAUAACUUUGACCUCAAAUCAGGUAGGACUACCCGCUGAACUUAAGCAUAUCAAUAAGCGGAGGAA
rnacentral:rRNA from 1 species